rnacentral:lncRNA from 1 species
CCAUACUUAGCCAGCAAUAGGUGUGAGUGCGAGUUGACCCAGCUUGAUUAGAACUCGUCUAAUCGAUUUAAGUCCAAACUGCGCGAACCCGAACUUAACAAUUAGAAUCCUUUCUAAUUGGUGAUCGAAUUAAACUCUUUAAUUUGAUCAAACCUAUAAGACAAGAUUGACGUCUAGCAACGUGUCAUGUCUACCCGGAAAAUAUGAAAUUUGGUGGAAAUACCAAAAAUACCCUUCAGUGGCAAGUUACUGUGCAAUUCAAUCCUUUAAUCAAACUGCAUC